ACGAACGCUGGCGGCGUGCUUAACACAUGCAAGUCGAACGAUUAAAGCUCACUUCGGUGAGUGUAUAGAGUGGCGAACGGGUGAGUAACACGUGGGAAACCUGCCCCUUUCUUCGGGAUAACUUCGGGAAACCGUUGCUAAUACCGGAUACUCCGGGAUGGUCGCAUGGCCGACCCGGGAAAGCUUUAUGUGGAAAGGGAUGGUCCCGCGGCCCAUUAGCUUGUUGGUGGGGUAAUGGCCUACCAAGGCAAUGAUGGGUAGCCG
rnacentral:rRNA from 1 species